UUCGUUGAACAUUUAUCGAUUUUUGUAAGAACUUACUUAAAUUUCAGUUUUCCUCCUGUUUGGUUGCUAAAAAAAAUUGGGAGAUAAAAAUAUUCAGAUUUAUGUUCUUAUUUUUCUUGUUUACAGUAAAUCACAAAAUACUUUUAACUGAGAAAAGUUACUAUAGUACUCUAAAUUGACUGCGGAAUUUUGGCUUUUAAGACAGGAAUGUUAGAAAUUCCUGAUUUGACGAACUCAAUUUAAUUUAUUUUGUUAUCUAACUUUUCCUGUAAUGAAAUUCAG
rnacentral:misc_RNA from 1 species